rnacentral:rRNA from 1 species
CCUACGGGUGGCAGCAGUGAGGAAUAUUGGUCAAUGGACGAGAGCCUGAACCAGCCAAGUAGCGUGAAGGAUGACUGCCCUAUGGGUUGUAAACUUCUUUUAUAUGGGAAUAAAAUGUUCCACGUGUGGGAUUUUGUAUGUACCAUAUGAAUAAGGAUCGGCUAACUCCGUGCCAGCAGCCGCGGUAAUACGGAAGAUCCGAGCGUUAUCCGGAUUUAUUGGGUUUAAAGGGAGCGUAGGUGGAUUGGUAAGUCAGUUGUGAAAGUUUGCGGCUCAACCGUAAAAUUGCAUUUGAAACUGGCAGUCUUGAGUACAGUAGAGGUUGGCGGAAUUCGUGGUGUAGCGGUGAAAUGCUUAGAUAUCACGAAGAACUCCGAUUGCGAAGGCAGCUCACUGGACUGCAACUGACACUGAGGCUCGAAAGUGUGGGUAUCAAACAGGAUUAGAUACCCCUGUAGUC